GCAGAGUUUUGUAGCAGGUAAAAAAAAAACACCAAAAGAUAAAAAAUUUACAAAGAAAAUUAACAAAUCAUUGAAAUAAGAUGCAAAAGCUGAAAAUUUUUGCUACAUUUCCAUUAUAUUUCUUCGUAAAAGCAUGCAAUUAAUCUCAGAAACAGAGCAAUAAUUAACAUGACGACGAAAAACAACAACCCAUCAAGAAACUGCCAACAAAAUUGGCAAAACUUUCAACGAGAUCCUGAAGAAACCCGUGAAAAGAUUUGUGGGAAAGCAAAGAAAAUUCUGGAGAAAACAAAGAAUGGAAUUUAGAAAGUCAAAAAAAAGAGCAGAGAGGCCAAAUUUAUAAAGCCAUGACUGAUCCCCACCACCAACAUUUAUAUUACUUUCUUUUUUUUAUUUUUGCUUUCAGUUUCUCUCUCUUUCUGAAGAUUGUCUAGAGAGAGAAACAGAAACGAGAACGCGUAAUGACCGAAUGCGAUAAUCGAAUAUUCAAGUUUCAAAGAAGCCUCCUCUCUUGAAUGCCAAUUGAUG
rnacentral:lncRNA from 1 species